rnacentral:lncRNA from 1 species
AAUAAAUGUGUGCAGAAGGAUCCUGUAGCAGCGUCGUUCUUCCUGGCCAGUUGAGCGCGCGCAAGAAGUGGUGCCGAAACCCGGGAAAAGAAACAUCUUCAGACAAGAGCGAAGACCCCCUGCUACAGGGAGGAUUCAGAACUGCAUAACGGGGAAGAAGGGGUUAAUAAAGGUUCCUGUGAAACAGACUGUUGAGAAGGAUUCAACUGCGUGAAUUCAGAACUAUUCAGCUGGGGAACGGUACUGAUGAAGAGAAAGAAGAGAGAUGAAGACUGAAUAAACUGCUGUUAGAAGGACUGGUGGUCGCAUCGUUCUUGCUGGUCGAGAGCAGACGCGACAAUUGGUGGCCCGUAUGGGGAACCGACUCCCCCACCGAGUUCAGAACUUUCAGCAGUCAGUGGUUGCCAGCAGGGUAAGUUCACGGUGAGUGAAACUUGCGACCCCAGGAGUUUGGGAAGGACCUCGGAUAAAAUUGAGGCAAGUAUAAAGUUGCCAGGAAGGAGGCACAAAGUAAUGAUAAGGUUCCUGGCUUUGGGACAAGUUAAGGUUCCUGGUUUUGGGACAAGUUAAGGAACUAUGAUAACCUCAGUGUAGUGAUCAAGAGAUCCUCACUGUGUAGUUAUGCUUUUUUCUUCCAUUGACCCUUUGUGGGUAGGUCUGAUAGUUUUGGUCUUGUUUGUUCUGAUAUAUGGACUCUGUUACUGUUUGAAACUGUGUGUAGAGGCAGUCAAGACAGGUCAGAAAAUCCUUAUAGAGCAACAAGAAAGUAUGUCGGAAGAGGAGAAGGGCUUAAAAAGAAAAAGGAAAAAGAAAGGAGACACAGUGUUAUCAGGUGGACAGAAAGGACAAAAUAAAAGAGCCGAGGUGGAGGAGGAAGGCGAAUUAGCUUCUGCGUCCUUUCCCUAUGCCUCCUCAGCAGCCACCUGUAGGUGGACCUUCUGUCCGGAGAUUUGUAGAGGAUCGAUCGAAUCAGGUGUUGAUGUGGGCGAGAGGGUCUGUUUGUGUGUUUCCACAGGACCAGACGGAACCUCUUUGGGUGCCGGAGAGAUUGGUGAGAUGCUGCAAGAAUGAGGCUCCUGAUCCAGUUGCCCCUGUGGAUGUGGUGGAUGAUCCCACAAGCACAAACGAUGGAGCCGAGAUGAGAGAUCCUUUCAGUGUUCCAGAAGCCGAUACCAGCUCGACAUGACAUUCAAAUUUUUCCACGCUUUUUGAUCCCUGAAUUCCCCUUAAAGAGAUAGCCCCGCUGGCCAUCUAUCCCUUGCUUCAGGGAAGAUGAGCGGGGAUGAGAGCCCUGGGAUGUAUGCUUGUUAUAGUGUGUGUGUGUGUGUUGGGCACAUGUGUUAGGUGCAGAGUGUGCGGCCCGCACUUUCGCCAUGGUAGCAUAGGCUUUUGCUGCAGUGGAGGCGGGACAAUCUCCUCAGAUUCGGUUUGCCGCUCUAAAAGAAAUUAUGCUGCGUUAUGCCGUGGGGUGCGAGGCUAAGCACUGCACAGAGGAUAGCUUGCUGUUGGCAUCCUGUGGAAGGCACGUCUGAUUGCAUGAAGGGUCAGUGUCCUAGUUCCCUUCCCUCAGGAAAAACGACACGGGAGCUGGCCAAGACCUCUCUGGGUGAUGAGCCUAAGGGAUGGUUUUGUGUAGGGCCCCUAUGCUUGCACACUGGGGAUCAGACCUCUACCUUCACCCAUGAGGCUUGCUUGCAGCAAUUAAGAUCUGGCCAUAGGUUAAGUAACAUCCUGGCCUUUUGAUGCACCUGCUGCAAGCAAAACACAAUCUCCCCAGGAGUGGCUUGGCAUGAUUGAGAGGUAGUCAGUGAUAAGACUCCCUGGGCAUGUCACCAACCUAAGACAGGGAUCAAACCAAUGCUGUUUGUCACCCAAGGACGGGUAAGGGGCAUGGCUGCUGGGGGCUAUCUACAGACAUUCUCUCUGCCAAAAAAGAAAAAAGGGGGAAUUGUGGGGAGCGGGUGUGGCGGCAGUCCCAAAGGCGCCAGAGACUGCAGCUAAGUCAUAUGACUUGCACCUGACUUCCUCAUAUAAGACACAAACAUCUUGAGUGCUGCGCAGGUGUACCAGGAUAUAGGUGAAUCCAAUUUGGUGGAGAUUUGCCCCUGCUGCCCUGAUUAGCUGAAGCCUCGUGACUGGCGAGGGGGCGUGGCCUGCGGUGCGUGGAUGGGAACUGAGAGUAUAUAAGAGUGAGAGGCCCGGGUUAGAGGGAGGAUUAUUAUUCGAGAGAGGAUUACUAUUAGUGGGGGAGAUAUAAAAACAAGGGAGAUAUAAACAAGGGAGAUAUAAAAACAAGGGAGAUAUAAAAACAAGGGAGAUAUAAACAAGGGAGAUAUAUGGAGAAAGAAGAAACAGGACUGAAUAAAUGUGUGCAGAAGG